GCCCCGGUAGCUCAGCUCCGGUGGAGCGUCGGCCUUGUAAGCCGAAGGUCCCGGGUUCAAAUCCCGGCCGGGGCUCCA
rnacentral:tRNA from 3 species